UACGUAGGGUGCAAGCGUUGUCCGGAAUUAUUGGGCGUAAAGAGCUCGUAGGCGGCUUGUCGCGUCGGCUGUGAAAACUCGGGGCUCAACCCUGAGCCUGCAGUCGAUACGGGCAGGCUAGAGUCCGGCAGGGGAGACUGGAAUUCCUGGUGUAGCGGUGAAAUGCGCAGAUAUCAGGAGGAACACCGGUGGCGAAGGCGGGUCUCUGGGCCGGAACUGACGCUAAGGAGCGAAAGCGUGGGGAGCGAACAGG
rnacentral:rRNA from 1 species